rnacentral:tRNA from 1 species
AGUGAAGUGGCUGAGGUUAAGCGAUAAAUUGUAAAUUUAUUUACGGGGGAUACCCCUUUACUA